rnacentral:rRNA from 1 species
UACGGAGGGUGCAAGCGUUGUCCGGAUUUAUUGGGUUUAAAGGGUGCGUAGGCGGCCCGUUAAGUCAGCGGUGAAAUCCCGGGGCUCAACCCCGGAACUGCCGUUGAUACUGGCGGGCUUGAGUUCGGUCGAGGCGGGCGGAACUGGCGGUGUAGCGGUGAAAUGCUUAGAUACCGCCAAGAACCCCGAUUGCGUAGGCAGCUCGCUUGGCCGAAACUGACGAUGAGGCACGAAAGCGUGGGGAGCGAACAGG